GUCGAGGGAUAGUGGUCUGCGUGCUGAACAGAGAGAGAGGUGUGAGUGUCGAGGGUUUGUGGUCUGCGUGCUGAACAGAGAGAGAGGUGUGAGUGUCGAGGGCUGGUGGUCUGCCUGCUGAACGGAGAGAGAGGGGUGAGUGUCGAGGGCUGGUGGUCUGCCUGCUGAACGGAGAGAGAGGUGUGAGUGUCGAGGGCUGGUGGUCUGCCUGCUGAACAGAGAGAGAGAGGGCUGAGUGUCGAGGGCUGGUGGUCUGCCUGCUGAACGGAGAGAGAGGUGUGAGUGUCGAGGGCUGGUGGUCUGCCUGCUGAACGGAGAGAGAAUGGGGUGUCGAGGGCUGGUGGUCUGCCUGCUAAACGGAGAGAGAGAGGGGUGAGUGUCGAGGGCUGGUGGUCUGCCUGCUGAACAGAGAGAGAGAGGGCUGAGUGUCGAGGGCUGGUGGUCUGCCUGCUGAACGGAGAGAGGUGUGAGUGUCGAGGGCUGGUGGUCUGCCUGCUGAACGGAGAGAGAAAGGGGUGUCGAGGGCUGGUGGUCUGCCUGCUGAACGGAGAGAGAGAGGGGUGAGUGUCGAGGGCUGGUGGUCUGCCUGCUGAACGGAGAGAGAGAGGGGUGAGUGUCGAGGGCUGGUGGUCUGCCUGCUGAACGUAGAGAGAGAGGUGUGAGUGUCGAGGGCUGGUGGUCUGCCUGCUGAACGGAGAGAGAGGUGUGAGUGUCGAGGGCUGGUGGUCUGCCUGCUGAACGGAGAGAGAGGUGUGAGUGUCGAGGGCUGGUGGUCUGCGUGCUGAACGGAGAGAGAGGUGUGAGUGUCGAGGGCUGGUGGUCUGCGUGCUGAACGGAGAGAGAGGUGUGAGUGUCGAGGGCUGGUGGUCUGACUGCUGAACGGAGAGAGAGAGGGGUGAGUGUCGAGGGCUGGUGGUCUGACUGCUGAACGGAGAGAGAGAGGGGUGAGUGUCGAGGGCUGGUGGUCUGCCUGCUGAACAGAGAGAGAGGUGUGAGUGUCGAGGGCUGGUGGUCUGCAUGCUGAACGGAGAGAGAGAGGGGUGAGUGUCGAGGGCUGGUGGUCUGCAUGCUGAACGGAGAGAGAGAGGGAUGAGUGUCGAGGGCUGGUGGUCUGCAUGCUGAACGGAGAGAGAGAGGGAUGUGUCGAGGGCUGCUAAACAAGGGUAGGAAUGCAGAAACACAAGGUCAUGUUUUUGCUCUCAAGGUGGCAAGCAUGCUACCCUAAGGUCUGAGGGAAGCGGGAUGUUUCAGGAUGCCUCCAGGUGGGGGCGCUAUAGUGGACAGAAUCUGGAGGGGGUGUUCAAAGUCACUGACCGCCAACUUUGAGUGGAGGUCCAACAGGGUCCCAGAAUGACACCCUGAGGUGCUCUAGCUAAACAGGCAUGGCUGUACUGCUGGAAAUGGAAAUGGAGACCUCCUCUAUACCCCUUUAAGCACCACAAUAAGCUGGUUUGGAGUAACGGUCCAUGCUAACCUCAUCCAUUUUUCCCAUCGUCUUGCCAGUUUCACGUUAUGUUUUAUGUGUAUAUGAACGUGAUGAUAUUCUCUGCACAUACUGAUGGCUGGGAUCCAUGUGCUGUGCAUUUUACAGUGAUUCUUCUAGGCCAGCCUGAGAUUAAACUGCUGCAUGGUGACCUGACCGAUAGCUAACGAAGGUAACCAACCAGACCAAAGAGAGUCACUCUAAUAGGUUUUUCCCU